rnacentral:rRNA from 1 species
AUCGGCCAAAAUAACCGUGAACGGCUACAAUAUUAUAAGUUUCUUCCUCUUGAUCGAAUCCGUAACCUGCAUUAGCAGAGCCUUAUGUCAAGACCUACGGGCUAAGGGACAGUCUCAGGUAGACAGUUUCUAUGGGACGUAGGCCUCCCAAAGGGUAACGGAGGCAUGCAAAGGUUUCAUUGGGUUGGACGGAGAUUGGUCCUCGAGUGUAAAGGCAGAAGGGAGCUUGAUUGCAAGACCCACCCGUCGAGUAGGGACGAAAGUUGGCCUUAGUGAUCUGACGGUACCGAGUGGAAGGGCCAUCACUCAACGUAUAAAAGUUACUCUAAGGAUAACGGGCUGAUCUUCCCAAGAGCUCACAUCGACAGGAAGGUUUGGCACCUCAAUCUCGGCUCUUCGCCACCUGGGGCUGUAGUAUGUUCCAAGGGUUGGACUGUUCGUCCUUUAAAGCGGUACGUGAGCUGGGUUCAGAACGUCAUAAGACAGUUCGGUCCAUAUCUGGUGUGGGAAUUAGGGCAUUGAGAGGACCUUUCCCUAGUAGGAGAGGAUUGGGAAGGACACACCUCUGGUGUACCAGUUAUUGUGCCCAAGAUAAACGCUGGGUAGCCAAGUGCGGAGCGGAUAACCAUUGAAAGCAUCUAAGUAGUAAAUUCACCCCAAGAUGAGUGCUCUUCUAUUCCAACUUCCCCAGAGCUUUCGG